UUCUAUAUGUUUUCCUGUUGCCUUUUGAGAAAUUAAAGAGAUAAAUUUGAUUAGUAAUAAGAUAGAGGAAAGAAUCCCAGGAUUGCAGAGUAGACUAGAGGCCCUGUUCACAAUACAAUAUUCUUGAUCUGCAAUGCGUCCAUGUGCUUAAGAUAGAAGUGGAGCUGAAUCAUAUAGACUAGAGGCAGAGACCGAUGAUGAAAUCCACUACUGAUGAUCAAUGCCUUUGCAUCUGAUGAUGGCAAAAUUGCUUUCGGAGCUUCUGCUAUGACCUUGGAACGCAGGACUGUCCAUUACUAGCUCAGCUACUGCGAGCUUCUGGCAUGGGGCUUCCUCUUAUUCAGAUAGGGAGGCUCUCAUAGUAAAGUAAACUGUCUGUUACUAGCUCAUCAUACCAUUAUAACAACAGAAACCAAGGAUAUAUUGGAAACUCAACAAAAACUGAGACCAGACAAAAAUCGAGGAACAAUUAACAUCAAAUGCUAUCAUCCAGAGGCAGAAACCUGCACACAGACCAAGAAAAUCUGUCAUGGUGCGUUCUGCUGCCUUCUAUGUUAAAAGCUAUAGACUGAACUUUGCAGGAGCAAGCACCAUCCAUGUUUCAAUUGAUAAACAAUCAAAGAGAAGCAAAACUCAUUCCAGCAGAACCUUCAAUCACCAGCAGUCUAUACAAUGAGUUGCAACAAAAAAAAAGCACUUCUGAAGAAACCCAGGAAUUCAGCUGCUACCGAGCUUCUGCUAGGCAAGUUUUUCUAUAGUAGGCUGUUAUAACUUUAGAUUCAGUAUCUCCAUCAAACUUAUCAAUAACAAUCAAUAUUUUCUAAA